CCUACGGGAGGCAGCAGUGAGGAAUAUUGGUCAAUGGCCGAGAGGCUGAACCAGCCAAGUCGCGUGAGGGAAGACGGCCCUACGGGUUGUAAACCUCUUUUGUCGGGGAGCAAAGCGAACCACGUGUGGUUCAUUGAGAGUACCCGAAGAAAAAGCAUCGGCUAACUCCGUGCCAGCAGCCGCGGUAAUACGGAGGGUGCGAGCGUUAUCCGGAUUUAUUGGGUUUAAGGGGUGCGCAGGCGGCGGUGCAAGUCAGCGGUCAAAUUGCGGGGCUCAACCCCGUACUGCCGUUGAAACUGCAUCCCUUGAGUGCGCGAGAAGGAGGCGGAAUGCGUGGUGUAGCGGUGAAAUGCAUAGAGAUCACGCAGAACUCCGAUUGCGAAGGCAGCAUACCGGCGCGGAACUGACGCUCAUGCACGAAAGCGUGGGUAUCGAACAGGAUUAGAUACCCGGGUAGUC
rnacentral:rRNA from 1 species